CUUUCUCUUUAAAGAAGUCCGCGAGCGCAAGCUGAUGUGGUGAGAUUCCACAACCGACAGUAUAGUCUGGAUGGGAGAAGACGAAA
rnacentral:misc_RNA from 1 species